CUACUACUCCCUCCGUCCGAAAAUACUUGUCAUUGAAAUGGAUGUAUCUAGAUGUAUUUUAGUUCUAGACAUCCAUUUUGAUGACAAGUAAUUCCGGACGGAGGGAGUAUUAU
rnacentral:pre_miRNA from 1 species